AGGGGCGGGAUGAGAAAAUGAAAUCUCAGAUGUUUUCUCAGGAAAACGAUUUUGUGUUGUAGCCCUGUUCCUCUUACCAGCUUCAAUGAGACAUUUCCUUUUGCACUCUCAUCCCACCUUGUGAAUCAUCUCAAGGAAAUGUUAACACAUCUCAUGGGGUCCUCGAUGUCUGACGUGCCCAAAAUGAGCUAAAAACCCCCCGUCAGUUUUGCAAGAUGCAAAGCAUUGAGCUCACCGGGAUCGGUUUGUGUGUGUUUUGGGAAAGAGCAGUUGACCCGCUUUCCGGCAAUCUGUAGAAGGCCAGGGCUCCCCCUGGGAAGAUUUUGUGAUUCAUCUUUCUGGGCAUUGAUUCCUGGCCUUGUUUUUCAGACGUUGUUGUUCUCCAAAAUACAGACAAAGACCUUUCGCUACCGCGAACGGAAGACCCAUAAAAUGUCUGCAUUUCAAAAUCGCGUUGUAAUGAGCGUGCCUGGAAAUCACGCAUUUUAAUCCGGGAGGAGUCAAAGCAAAGCUAACUGAAAGGAAUGAGUUUGCUGUGGACUUUCAGGGCGCAACUGAGCAUCUAUAAACAAGAAAUAUCGAUGGAAGUGGUUCCCCUUAUUCCAGAUUAUUGCAAAGUCUGCUACCUGGCAGGGCCAUUAUUUUCCCUCUUCCAAAUAGUGGGAUGCAGUGAUGGGAAAUGCUUUUUCUCCUGCUGA